rnacentral:rRNA from 1 species
AGUCAAGUUAUUAAGGGCUCACGGUGAAUGCCUUGGGAUCAAGGACCGAUGAAGGGCGCGGUAAGGCUGCGAUAAGCCUCGAUUAGCCGUCUAACGGGCUUAGUCGAGGAUUCCCGAAUGGGGAAACCUGUUCCGGUGUUGAGCCGGUUCAUCUGCAUAGCAGAGGGUAAGUGGGGGAACUGAAACAUCUAAGUACCCCGAGGAAAAGAAAUCAACCGAGAUUCCCUAAGUAGCGGCGAGCGAACGGGGACCAGCCCUUAAGCUGAACAACUGGUAGGAGAAGGCUCUGGAAAGUGCCGCCAUAGUGGGUGAUAGCCCCGUAUCCGCAAC